rnacentral:rRNA from 1 species
UACGUAGGUGGCAAGCGUUGUCCGGAUUUACUGGGCGUAAAGAGCGCGCAGGCGGUCGUGCAAGUCGCGUGUGAAAGCCCCGGCUCAACUGGGGAGGGUCACGCGAUACUGUUCGACUCGAAGGCAGGAGAGGGAAGCGGAAUUCCCGGUGUAGUGGUGAAAUGCGUAGAUAUCGGGAGGAACACCAGUGGCGAAGGCGGCUUCCUGGCCUGUUCUUGACGCUGAGGCGCGAAAGCUAGGGGAGCAAACGGG